GCGGCCGGGAGGCGGCUUCGCGCCGCGGGCGGGAGGCUGCGGCGGGCGACCCGUCCUGGACACGCGAGGAAGAGCGAGCCGAUGGCGGCAGGGGCCGCGCUUCGACCCGGUGUGCCAUUUUGAAGACUGAGACCAUAGAGUUCUAAGAAUAAAGGAAAGAGCCCUUGGGAAAUUAUUAUAUAUAGCAAAAAUGUGAAUCCUCAGAUGGAAUGAAAGGCCUGCACCAUAGACAUUGAAGCAUUUACACCCCGCUUGAAGAGUUUGAAAUGGACUUUACCACUGAGAAAUCAAGAUGGCAGCCCAUUAUGGGGAAUUGAGGAAAAUGGAUUAAUGCAAGAAUGCUGUAAUAUUAUACAACCAACACAGGAUUCUUUUAAUGUGGAUUCCAUGAAAUGAAUGAUUCUUACCCAACACAAAUGGACAGUGGAAUUUACUUCCUAAAGACUUGUUACAUGUCAUGUACAUUUUUGACAUCUGGAGAAGACUCUACAAUUCUACAAAUGGUAGUUUGUAUUCCUGGAAUUUCUUGCAGUUUGAUCUGAAGUGACCUUAUGGAAUGUUAACUUUAAUAAAAUCUCUAAAACUUAAAA
ensembl:processed_transcript 1810026B05Rik RIKEN cDNA 1810026B05 gene